rnacentral:rRNA from 1 species
GACGAACGCUGGCGGCGUGCUUAACACAUGCAAGUCGAACGGAAAGGCCCUGCUUUUGUGGGGUGCUCGAGUGGCGAACGGGUGAGUAACACGUGAGUAACCUGCCCUUGACUUUGGGAUAACUUCAGGAAAGUGGGGCUAAUACCGGAUAGGAGCUACUGCUGCAUGGUGGGGGUUGGAAAGUUUCGGCGGUUGGGGAUGGACUCGCGGCUUAUCAGCUUGUUGGAGGGGUAGUGUCUUACCAAGGCUUUGACGGGUAGCCGGCCUGAGAGGGUGACCGGCCACGUUGGGCCUGGGAUACGGCCCGGACUCCUACGGGAGGCAGCAGUGGGGAAUAUUGCACUAUGGGCGGAAGCCUGAUGCAGCAACGCCGCGUGCGGGAUGACGGCCUUCGGGUUGUAAUCCGCUUUCGCCUGUGACGAAGCGUGAGUGACGGUAAUGGGUAAAGAAGCACCGGCUAACUACGUG